rnacentral:rRNA from 1 species
GACGAACGCUGGCGGCGUGCUUAACACAUGCAAGUCGAACGGAAAGGCCCUGCUUUUGUGGGGUGCUCGAGUGGCGAACGGGUGAGUAACACGUGAGUAACCUGCCCUUGACUUUGGGAUAACUUCAGGAAACUGGGGCUAAUACCGGAUAGGAGCUCCUGCUGCAUGGGGGGGGAUGGAAAGUUUCGGCGGUUGGGGAUGGAAUCGCGGCUUAUCAGCUUGUUGGUGGGGUAGUGGCGUACCAAGGCUUUGACGGGUAGCCGGCCUGGGAGGGUGACCGGCCACAUUGGGACUGCGGUACGGCCCAGACUCCUACGGGAGGCAGCAGUGGGGAGUAUUGCACAAUGGGCGGAAGCAUGAUGCAGCAACGCCGCGUGCGGGAUGACGGCCUUCGGGUUGUAAACCGCUUUCGCCUGUGACGAAGCGUGAGUGACGGUAAUGGGUAAAGAAGCACCGGCUAACUACGUG